GCUCUUCACGAUGACGAAGAAGAGUCCUUGUUCCAUUCAAGCUUUAUUCGACCUUUGUAAGCAGACUUUUGCGCCUUCUGCAACUUCAUCACCUUCUUCUCAAGCUAUCCACAAGCUUUAUUCGCUUUUGGAUACGAUUGGUCCUGAAGAUGUUGGACUGAAAGAUGAAAGCCGAGAGGAUGAAAGAGGUCAUGGUCUUUUUGGACUCAAUGUCUUCAACAGGGUGGAUCGCUGGGCUCAACCGAUUACAUAUGUGGAUAUACACGAGGGUCAAAACUUUACUAUGUGCAUGUUUUGUUUCCCAACUUCUGCUGUCAUUCCAUUGCAUGACCAUCCUGGAAUGACUGUUUUGAGCAAAGUCCUCUAUGGAUCCUUGCACGUGAAAGCUUAUGAUUGGGUUGAGCCAGCUUGCAUCAGGAAAAGUGAACGUGCUGGUCAUCCUACAGUGAGACUGGCUAGGUUGGCGGUUGAUAAGGUCGUAAGUGCACCACAUGGUACAUCGGUUUUGCAUCCCAAGAGUGGAGGGAAUCUGCACUGUUUUACUGCCGUUACACCUUGUGCAGUUCUUGACAUUCUUGCUCCUCCUUAUCUUGAAGCAGCUGGCAGAAGAUGUACCUACUACCAUGAUUAUCCUUAUUCCAGCUUUGCACAUGGAGAUGAAAUUGUUGAUAAUGGAAAGGAACAAGAAUAUGCAUGGCUUGCUGUGGUUGAUACCCCAGAGGAUCUGUACAUGCGCCCAGGAAGGUACAUGGGUCCAGACAUCCAGAGGUAGCAAUAUACGUUUUCCUGCAUUUGCUUAAGUAUGGAGUGUGGAUGUUCAUGGAGCCCUUUUACUGUGAGCCUACCCAAGAUUGACCUAUAAAUGAUGCUUAACUGAUGUGUAUCUUUUUUUUUCUUCAUAAUCUUCAAGAAGGCUGUUGAUCAUGUUGUUAGAAUCAUGAAAAUGCUACAGUAUUAUAUUGUAGUCAAGUCUUUGGCAUUGUAUAUUGGAGUUUGUAUUAGUUCCCGCACUGGGUAUGUUGUUGUAUCAGUUCCAUAUGAUCCAUCAUCUGCUACCCCCGGCAUGUCAACAAAGUAUUUCACUUUUGAGA
rnacentral:misc_RNA from 1 species